rnacentral:sRNA from 1 species
GCUGGGCAUGGUGGUGCAUGCCUGUAGUCCCAGCUACUCGGAAGGCUAAGGCAGGAGGAUCGCUUGAGCCCAGGAGCUGGAGGCUGCAAUGUGCCAUGAUCACACGUCUGUACUCCAGCCUGGGCAAUAGAGUGAGACCCUGCCUCAA